rnacentral:rRNA from 1 species
ACGAACGCUGGUGGCUGCCUAAUACAUGCAAGUCGAACAGUGGCGGACGGGUGAGUAACGCGUGAGCAACCUGCCUAUGACAGUGGGAUAGCCUCGGGAAACCGGGAUUAAUACCGCAUAGUCAUAGAUGGGCUCGCGUCUGAUUAGCUAGUUGGUGAGAUAACAGCCCACCAAGGCGACGAUCAGUAGCCGGUCUGAGAGGAUGAACGGCCACAUUGGAACUGAGACACGGUCCAAACUCCUACGGGAGGCAGCAGUGGGGAAUAGUGCACAAUGGGGGAAACCCUGAUGCAGCGACGCCGCGUGAACGAAGAAGGUAUUCGUAUCGUAAAGUUCUGUCCUAUGGGAAGCAGUACCAUAGAAGAAAGCUCCGGCUAAAUACGUGCCAGCAGCCGCGGUAAUAC